UGAGAACGGCCGCCGGAGCUGUUUUCAGGAAAUGGCCCUCCGAUGGUUAAGUUAGACGUCCGGAUAUCUAGAGAGAGAAAGUGUAUGUAUGUCUGUAUGUUCUUCUUGGAAAGGUUGCACGUACCUCUUUCAGGAUAACAAUGUUUUCUUUGUAUCUUGGCUCAGCACGUGGCAUAAUAUGCUGACCGUCCCAUUACUCGCCAGACUGUUGCUUGACAUGUGUUCGUACGCGCUGAUUGCUGUGUCAGUGAUUAGGUGGCUGACCUAGCCAUGCCCCUAUGGCGUGGCUAGUAGCUCAUAAUCAACUGUCGACGUCUCCGUCCGGGCGUGGGGCUGUCAGAAGGUACUUUGACGUGCAAGUUACCUUCUGUCCCCUGAUAUCCCUCGAGAGCGCCGCCGGACGUUGCCCCUCGCUCAAGCUUCCAGCGUAGUUGUUGUUCUAAGCUCGCUGAACAACGUCAUCUAGGGUGUAACGAAGGCCUUAGCUCGGCGACAUUCGUCUUUGGUAGUAUUCGCACCGAGCUCUGGCGCAGGACUCCGCCGAACUCGCUUCAUAGCGACAGCUCGACUUCAUAGCGACAGCUUGACGGAGAUCCUUGCCCUAGAUAGGCCGGAUUACUUCAUCAUAUAAUUUAUCCCCUUACAAUAACUCUGAAUUCAGUUUAUGUUAAAGUAUGAUUUUUUGUAUUUUCUUUCGUUUUUUGGAGUUGUAAGCGUGUGAUCAUUGACGAUUGGAGUAACUUGGACAUCGAGUGUUCCUUUGCUACAAGUUGGGUUUGGAUGGUAAUAAGAUAGCAGCGUGGUUGAUUAUUCAACAGCGAUGAAUCUUUCCUCACGGUAAUCCUCUGCCUUUUAUUUUAUAGGUUUUGGGUAAUUGUGACUUCUUUUUAUUUUUUUGUAUUCUUGGAGGGCGGUAAAUGAAUGAAUAUUGAUAAUAGAAUUAGCUUGAUCUAGGUCAUUCACGAUAUUUGCAAGUUCAAUAUUCCAUCUUCUAAACGUCUUUUGGUAUUUAUUAGCACAAAGUUUGAGUAGAUCCGAAUAUUCUAUAAUUUUCAUGAUUUGGUAUUAAUUGAGGUCCUCUCUUAUGAGUCUUGCUUGCUUCAAAUGUUCUACAUAAAUCUAAUAUUUAGAAGUUCAGGUGGCACCUUUUUGGGGCCAAAAAAUGAAGUUCCACGAGAUUAAAGCAGUGCAUCUAUUUGUGUUGUCUCAUGCAUUAUAUUCUUAUUGUUAAAAGUUACGCCUAAUUUGUACCUGUUAAUGGGUUUCUAGGAAGGGAAAAUUCUUAUUGCUAAUUAUUGCUAAUCUCUUUGCAACUCCCUUCGUCACUUUUAAUUCUAAGGAAUGCACCCAGCUACACUCUAUACCGACGGCGUUUUAUAACAUUUAGGUUGUUUUCUUUCCUUUUUCUUUUUAAAAAAUAGGUAAUAGAAACUAUAUAUGUUUAGAUAAUGGCAAAAUGAGAAUCUCAGUUAGUUCUUUGAAUUCAUUGUACAGUUAGAAGAGUCUACAUGUGGAUUCAUUCAAAACAUUUUCAGUUUUGAGAACAUGUAUAGCCCCUAAAAAGUCUUCUGUUUCUUGCUCAAUCACUGCCCCGUUUGUUAGUAGCUUCGUGAACAGAGAAUUGAAAGCAGGAUGAUGGAGAGUCAAUUCCGCGACUUCAAAUAACUCAAAAUUCUAUAGGAUUCGGCCCAUGUUAGGCGUAAAUUGAUAAAUUCGGUUCAAUUUAGGUGCUUAAUUUGAUGGCGAUCAAGAAUAUGCUAUGGGGGAAUAUUCAAGAUUUAGAAUAAGUUUAAUAAUCGUAUGAUUUGAAUUUUCAAUUUCAUCAACACGUUUUCACAAGGUGAAAUAUUUGUUAGCUAUCUUUUCUACUUUAUAUUGUAAGAUAAAAAUCCCGUGCAUAGCAUGAGUUUGCUUCUAUGCUAUUUUAAGCAUUUGCUCCUAGAUCUAACAGCAUUGGGAGCUUUGCUGGAGGAGAUCGCUAAAGUCUUGGAUGAAGUGGAGCAACAGAUGGAGCAACAACAACAUAACCAAUAGCAAAUCGCGGACAAUAACAAAUAAUAUUGGAGAAACGUAGAGGUUAAAAAACCUCUUUGUAUGUACCGCAUCAUUUUUUUCUUUGUUCCCUUCUUGUGUAUUUUAGAUUAAUAAGAACAAAAUAAUUAAGAUAAUCUUUUCUUUUACUGGUGAUGUUUUGAAUUUUGGCAUCUAAUGGCUAUAGCUUCCUGGAGUUUUUAUGUUUACAAACAUAUGUUUUUGAACUUCGUACGAACAAAAUUUCAUUUAUUCUUUUAUUGGAUCGUAGUGUUGCUUCUAUGUUUUAUUUAUUUCUUAAAUAUAUCAUCAAAUUGAUGCUGUUAUGUUUUAGUGUUCCAAUUAUGCUUUAAAUCAUGAGCUUGGAACAUUUUGCGGAUCUUGAAGUAGGUUCUCAAUCACAAGGGAUUCAUAUGUAUAUUUUCAUUUGCUUUUAAUUUUGACUACACGAAAUAUUAAACUUUUUUUAGGAUUGGGAUGAAGUAUACAGAGAAAUAAAAAUGAUAAAUAUAACUGUAUUCUAGCGUUGGGAAGAGAAUAAUAUGGUACGUUGAUUUUCACAUAUUUUUUAUUAAUAUAUUUAAUUUGAUUAAAGUCUCACAUCGUUUGCCCUAAAUUGUCGUGC
rnacentral:lncRNA from 1 species